UUCGUCACAACAACAAAAUUAGACUAACUUUUUAGUUUUGCCUCCAAAAUUUUUGACCACUUAUUUAGUUUCCCACCACACCCUAUUACAUUUUAGCAAACCCUUCUAAGCUGUAGAGAGACCAUGGGCUUCACUCAUAGCACGAAAAUCUAGAGAGACCGUGGGAUCAUUCUCGGAGAUUUCUUUCCGGCGUUGGAGAUGCUCGAAGGCAUUCACUCCAUUGUCAUCUUCACUAAGAGGUCUUUCAAUCUCCACAGUUUUUUAGAUUUCUUUGGUGGGUCUUCAUCAAAUUAUAAAAUUGGCUCCUUCACUCGAAGUGCAUUUGAAAUAAUUUUGUUAAUGGAACUUUGGAUGUUCAUGAUCGAUUUACAACCACAAUGGCUACGUCCUAAAAAUCACUCUUUGUUAUCGAAAGACCUCUUUGUUAUCGAAAGACAAGGGUUUGUAAUCAGAGGCGAAUCUACAAUUUAUAAAAGAUGAGUUCACUACUAAAGAAAGGAGGAAAAAAAAUGCUUCGAGUGGGGAUUGAUCCCUGAACCUUCAGGUAAAUAAAUUAGCUUUCAACCAAGCCUUUUGUAGCAUGUGUUCUAAAAGGUAAUAUUAGAUAUAUUUUAAGAAUUAUACACAUAAUCUACUGAGUUUAGUCGGGUGACCAUGUGUUCACGUGACCCUUUUUUACCCCCUAAAUUCACCACUGUUUGUAAUAUAAGCUUGGUCCUAAAGAUCAUGUUUUACUUUGUAGUAUUAUCAUAGAUGUUUAUUUCACUUGUAGAAAAUACUUACAGUUGUUCUCCAGCAUAGCUACUUGACUAUCAUAUGUAGUUCGUAUUAUUAUUUAAAUGAUAGAGUACAAUGUUGGGCAGUUGUACGUGUUUUCAAGUCUAAGAGCAUUAAUGUAAGUUUUAUGUCUUUAUUUUCAGUAUUAUUUGUUAGAGGUACAAUUGAAUGGUGUUUUGAAAAUAAGAAAUACAUCAAUCACAUUCUUAAGGUUGAAUGUUGUCUGCCUAGGACCUAUGUCCACCGGGAUUGGAGUUCAAUGAGUAACCAUGUGUAAGCUACCUAUCUAGCGCAAUCUCUAACUGAUUUUUGUUAAGUAUGUCACCCUGUUUGACUAUGUUAUAAAACUCAUUAUCCAUGAAUGUUGCUAAAAACUGUCUAGGCACGUAAUGCUACUAUGAGAGGACUUCAAUUGCUUCUAUAUUCUAUGAGCAACUAUCAAGAAAUGAAUAACUAGUUUCCAUUUCCAGUUAGUUUCAUUUUCUAGAAUUUUUGUGACUUGUUAGUUGCUGGAUUUAAAAAAAAAAUUACUCCAGCAAAGCUAAAUACAUGAAUCCAUCCAAUGUUUGGAUCAAUCUGAAUUCUAGUGCUUCUGGUAUUGAAUUCCUACACAAACACAACAUAUACAAAAACAUUGGUCCCUUCUCUAAUUUUUCAGUAAUGUCAUAGGUGUUAGGUUAUUGAAGAGCGGGUAGGUCAUUGUGCAAGUUAAGGACAACUUUAUUUAAUUUUUAUGAUUUAUUGCAUAUGUAUAUAUGAAGUAAAAUGACUACAUUGCAUUAGGAUGAUCCAAAAGAGAAACGGGCUGUUCAAUAGCUCUGUUCACCGCUAACACCAAAAAAUCGUCAUUCCACUCCUACAAGAAAAUAAUAAGAUUUAUUUGAAAAGUCUAUGGGACAUUAAUCUGAAACAAAAUCCACAGAUAAAUACAUGUCUUAAAUUUUUCCCGGUGAAGAGAGUCAAUGUCUUAGCUUCCUAUGAAUUGUUUCUGCCCUUCUAUAUAGAUGAAACUUGUUUUAUGAAACCUUGAGUUGACGUCUCCUUUCUGCCCAAUUUCAUUUGUUUAUCCACCAGCAAUAAUAAAAAUGCAACGGGAAAAGGUGAAAAUAAGGAAGCUCAAAGAUAAGAAAUCAUAUUCUAUCACCUAGUGUUUGGUGUUUACCAAUCUUGAUUGAGGUCGUUCUAAGAUAGUGUGUUUGGUAAAAAUAAGGAAGCUCAAAGAUAAGAAGUUGUAGUCUAUCACAGAGUUUUUGGUGUUUACCAAUCUUCACUGGGUUCGUUCUAAGACAGAGCUUAAGUAUAGUUGUUUACCUGAGUAUCUCAAGAUAAAGAAGUGCUGUUGACCAGGGAAAUAAAUAGCAUUAUCGCGUGCUUCAUCGAAUAAGUAAAAGAUGACAAAGCUAUAAACCCAUAAAGCGUUAGCUGAGGCUAAAAUCAAAGGAAAGUACGGAACUACCAGCUUGCUAUUUUGGAUUGACUUCUAUGUUCUAAUUCUGUUGAUAUAGGUUUUAGUUUUACACUUUGUUAAAUGACGGUGGAAAAUGGUAGUAUCUUUAUCUGAUGUAUUAGUAGUGAAGUAUAAAAUAAUAGUUGGAUUUAUUUUGAAGCUGUCAAGCAACAUUUGUUUGGUUUUAUCUCAUUAACUCAACUUUUUAUUCUAGUGAAGUUCACUUCCUGUGUUUGCUGUUUGUUUAUGUUUGUAUAAGCGGCAAUGAACGCCUAAAUAUUGAUUGAAAUGGUUCAAUUCUGGGUAUUUAAAAUUAAAUAGAAAGGUUAUGUGACAAUAGGCUGUAAAAUUCUGAUUAAAAAUUGGCUGCAACUCUGGGAAAGCAGAAGGGUGAAUAUUUAUCCCCAAGUAAUUGCUAUGUUUUUUGUCAUGUGGUAUUUAUCUACUCAAGUGUGUUUACUAAAAGGUAGUGGGUAGGAUACAUUUUUUCUGUUAAAUUUUGGAUAUAUGUACUUUGUGUUAUUUUUUGGCCCUUUAACCUUCGGAACAAUGGAUGUUUGUCUGAACCUCUUAUGUGGAGUUGAUUGUUUGUAACAGGAUGACAUGCUUUCUAUCAAUGAUAAUUGUGUGUAGGAUGAAAUGGAGGCUAGGGUGGCUUCUGCUAUUUCAGUCUCAUCAGAUGAUUCACAAGAAGUCCACGAACUCGAUGUAAAUCGCAUAUACUUGGAUGUUGUAGGUGGAGAGAAAAAACGACUUGUGUAUGGAUUGGGCGCUCAAGCUUUGAAUUUGUAUCAAGACUGCAAUUCUGCUACUUCACAGAACUUGUCUACGGUGACUGAUCGUGCUGAUGGAGAACACUUCAAACUUCUUGAGGAAGAGAUGUUGCGUAUGAGAGAAAAUCAAGAGAGAAUUCUUCAAGAGCGUAUAGAGGCGAAUGUUCAACGUCUUGACGCGGAGGUAAAACAACUUGUAGAGCAGGAGGUAUAGCGUUUGAGACAAGAAAGUGAUGAUCGGUUUAAGUCUAUGGAGGAUUGAUGGUCUCGCAUGAUGAGCGAGAUGGCGCUAUAUUCUCGAUCAUCUGGUGAUCCUACUCUUUCUAAAUAGGGACUCACCAAAUACUUAAGUGUUUAACAUUUUGAGACUUUAGUUACUCAGAAAUUCUUUUAACGUUGUCAAGACUUUUGUUAGUUGGAUGCUUUGUAAGUUUUAAUAUUUGUACACUUUUGCUUAUUGAAGUUGUGUUUUUGCACGUUUUAACUUCAUGCUUUUGUAUUGUAAAUUUAAUAUUUGUUGUAGUUGCUAA